GACUCAUUUUUGUUAAAUUUCAACAAAAACUAAGGCCAUACGGACAGCCAGAGUCACAGCCGA
rnacentral:sRNA from 1 species